GGUUUUUUGGUUUGGAAUUUAAAGUUUGACCUGCCCAAUGAUGAAUUUAAUGGCCGCGGUAUUGUGACCGUGCAAAGGUAGCAUAAUCAUUAGUCUUUUAAUUGAGGGCUCGUAUGAAUGGUUGGACGAGGAGGGGACUGUCUUCAAAUGAAGUUUUGUUAUUUGAAUUUUACCUUUAAGUGAAAAGGCUUAAAUGGUCUUGAGGGGCGAUAAGACCCUAUAGAUCUUUACAUUUUGCAGCAUUAGAGUGUAAUGAGGCGUUAUGUUAGGUUGGGGCGACAGGAAGAAAAGUAUAACUUUUUAGGUGUAGGAUUACUGUUUUUGUAUAUUGAAGAUCCACGAUUAUAGUGAUUAUGAGACUAAGUUACCUUAGGGAUAACAGCGUAAUCUUUUUUGAGAGUUCAUAUCGAGAGAAGGGAUUGCGACCUCGAUGUUGGAUUAAGGUUUCCUUGUGGUGUAGAAGUUGCAGGGGAAGGUCUGUUCGACCUUUAAAUCCUUACA
rnacentral:rRNA from 1 species